AGAGUUUGAUCCUGGCUCAGGACGAACGCUGGCGGCGUGCCUAACACAUGCAAGUCGAACGGGGAUAGAUUGAAGGUUUACCUGAUAUCUAUUCUAGUGGCGGACGGGUGAGUAACGCGCGAGCAAUCUGCCUUGUACUGGGGGAUAACGUCGAGAAAUCGGCGCUAAUACCGCAUAAUACUAUUAGAUCGCAUGGUCAUAUAGUCAAAACUCCGGUGGUACAAGAUGAGCUCGCGUCCAAUUAGCUAGUUGGUGAGGUAAUGGCCCACCAAGGCGACGAUUGGUAGCCGAACUGAGAGGUUGAUCGGCCACAUUGGGACUGAGACACGGCCCAGACUCCUACGGGAGGCAGCAGUGGGGAAUAUUGCGCAAUGGAGGGAACUCUGACGCAGCAACGCCGCGUGAAGGAUGAAGGUUUUCGGAUUGUAAACUUCUUUGAUCGGGGACGAAAAUGACGGUACCCGAGGAACAAGCCACGGCUAACUACGUGCCAGCAGCCGCGGUAAUACGUAGGUGGCAAGCGUUGUCCGGAAUUACUGGGUGUAAAGGGCGUGUAGGCGGGAAGGCAAGUCAGAUGUGAAAGCCCAUGGCUUAACUGUGGAACUGCAUCUGAAACUGUUUUUCUUGAGUACUGGAGAGGAAAGUGGAAUUCCUAGUGUAGCGGUGAAAUGCGUAGAGAUUAGGAGGAACACCAGUGGCGAAGGCGGCUUUCUGGACAGUAACUGACGCUGAGGCGCGAAAGCGUGGGGAGCAAACCAGGAUAAGAUACCCUGGUAGUCCACGCUGUAAACGAUGGAUACUAGGUGUGGGAGGGAUCGACCCCUUCCGUGCCCGAGUUUAACACAAUAAGUUCCCCCCCUGGGGAGGAAGACCGCAGGGUUGAAACUCAAAGGAAUUGACCGGGGGCCCGCGCGAGCAGUGGAGUAUGUGGUUUAAUUCGAUGCAGGGUGAAGAACCUUUCCAGGGCUUUACAUACCAAAGCCCGGGUUAGAGAUAGCCCUUCCCUUCGGGGCAUUGGAUACAGGUGGUGCAUGGUUGUGGUCGGCUCGUGUCGUGAGGUGUUGGGUUAAGUCCCUACAACGAGCGCAACCCCUGUUGUUAGUGGCCAUCAUUUAGUUGGGCACUCUAACGAGACGUCCGGUGACAAAUCGGAGGAAGGUGGGGAUGACGUCAAAUCAUCAUGCCCCUUAUGUCCUGGGCUACACACGUACUACAAUGGCGAUUACAGAGGGAGGCAAGACCGCGAGGUGGAGCAAAUCCCUAAAAGUCGCCCCAGUUCAAAAUGCAGGCUGCAACUCGCCUGCAUGAAG
rnacentral:rRNA from 1 species